rnacentral:rRNA from 1 species
GUGUCAGCAGCCGCGGUAAAACGUAGGAGGCAAGCGUUAUCCGGAGUUACUGGGCGUAAAGCGUGCGUAGGCGGAUGGGUAAGUGGGUGGUGAAAGCGCCGGGCUAAACCGGGCGAGGUCCAUUCAGACUGCCUGUCUAGAGGCGGAUAGAGGGGUGCGGAAUUCCGGGUGUAGCGGUGAAAUGUGUAGAGAUCCGGAGGAACACCAGUGGUGCAAACGGCGCCCUGGGUCCGCACUGACGCUGAGGCACGAAAGCGUGGGGAGCGAACGGGAUUAGAGACCCCGGUAGUCCUAGCAGUAAACGAUGUCCACUAGGUGUGGGGGGUAGUUGACCCCUUCCGUGCCGAAGCCAACGCAUUAAGUGGACCGCCUGGGGAGUACGGUCGCAAGACUAAA